rnacentral:rRNA from 1 species
UACGGGGGGGGCAAGCGUUGUUCGGAAUUACUGGGCGUAAAGGGCUCGUAGGCGGCCAACUAAGUCGGAUGUGAAAUCCCCAGGCUCAACCUGGGAACUGCAUCCGAUACUGGAUGGCUUGAAUCCGGGAGAGGGAUGCAGAAUUCCAGGUGUAGCGGUGAAAUGCGUAGAUAUCUGGAGGAAUACCGGUGGCGAAGGCGCAAUCC